GAUUAUUAAGGUGACUAUAUGAAAGGAUCACUCCAAAAUAACACAUACCAGAAUAGGAGUCCUGUCUUAACUGAGCAAUAUACACUAUGGAGAGAUCCUUCAAAACCCGUCGGGACGAAUAACAGAUGAAUUCAUAAAACUGUUCAUCUCUGUUAUCCUGAAUGGUCACUCAGACAACAUUUUACUCAACUAUAAAGGGGAACACUUAAAGUGCAUAUGAGAAGAGAAGAGAAUGACCACAGGAGAAAAUCAUCUCAGGCCACGAUUUCCUAACCAGAAUCUGUAAGAGAGAUUCCAAGAACUUGGUAAGAGAUAGGAACACAGUGGGGCCUAAACAGAGGACAGUUUCUGUAAUCACUUGUAAUAUCUAUAAUGUUAUACUAGAUGAAUGGAAAUAUGAGCAUUGUUGAAAGGUGU
rnacentral:lncRNA from 1 species